rnacentral:lncRNA from 1 species
AAGUGCGUAAAAGGGGAGGAAUCUAUGCGUAUCGAUUUGACAAAGAGGGUUUUACGUUAUGAGGAAGUUGAAAAUUUGCAGAAUGAUGAUGAUCUAAAGAGUACGUUGGUUGAAAAUUUGCAGAAUGAUGAUGAUCUAAAGAGUACGUUGGUUGAAAAUUUGCAGAAUGAUGAUGAUCUAAAGAGUACGGUGGUUGAUUCGGAGUGUGAAAAGAGGUUCAUUUUAAUCGAUGUAGAUGAUAUGCCUUCCGAUAUGGCGAAAAGUGCG